rfam:Salmo salar isolate Sally breed double haploid chromosome ssa12, whole genome shotgun sequence.
CCCUGUGUGGCUCAGUUGGUAGAGCAUGGUGUUUGCAACGCCAGGGUUGUGGGUUCGAUUCCCACGGGGG